rnacentral:misc_RNA from 1 species
UCUACCUUACUUUGUUGCUUUGGCAGGCCCGUCUCGCGACCGCCGGCAGCUGCUGGCCCGUGCCUGCCAGAGGACCACAAACUCUGAUUAUCCUGCCGUCUGAGUAACACACAAAUACGUUAAAACUUUCAACAACGGAUCUCUUGGUUCUGGCAUCGAUGAAGAACGCAGCGAAAUGCGAUAAGUAAUGUGAAUUGCAGAAUUCAGUGAAUCAUCGAAUCUUUGAACGCACAUUGCGCCCUCUGGUAUUCUGGGGGGCAUGCCUGUUCGAGCGUCAUUACAACCCUCAAGCCCUGCUUGGUGUUGGGCGGUACCGCGUGCGGUACGCCUCAAACGUAGUGGCGGCGCCACCCAGCUUCAAGCGUAGUAACACUCUCGCUCUGGAGAUGGUUGCGCUCCCGCCAGCAACCCUCACUUUC